AGUUCUCCAACCCCAUAAAGUUAGAAUGCAGUCUGUGAGUACUCUCUGCUCUAAUCAAGAAGGAAGGGGCUUCAGCUUCAAAUGUCAAUGCUGUAAACAUGUUAAAUCUGGAAAAUAUUUUCUAAGCAAGCAACCAUGUGUAAAAUUUACCGAACUUGUCAUGAAAGGGCUGCAGCUGCAAACCUGCAAACUUCUCACUUCCAUGAAGACUCCAGAUGCUGAGACAGGGAAGAGAGGUUUCAGCUUGGCUCCCCAGCUGUUGCACCUUAGAGCUUUGCAUGCCGCCAUCUUCUCAGCGUUUCACCAGGUCAAAAAGUCUGAACGAUCCUUUCUCAGACAUGUCUCCUGAAUCUGGAUCAUCACCAUGCCACCCGGGGUAGGCUCUGGUCCUAACCGGCCUGGACUCUGAGCAACGGUGUCCUGACUGCUCUCCUGACAACUGUCACUCCCAGGCCCGGCCACUCGCCGUCUCAGCGCCCCCUCGCGGCCCUUCUCUACCCACCUCGGGACUUCCCAGGCCU
rnacentral:lncRNA from 1 species